GACGAACGCUGGCGGCGUGCCUAAUACAUGCAAGUCGAACGCAGUGGGGACGGGUGAGUAACACGUGGGUAACCUCCCAUCAGAGGGGAUAACACUUGGAAACAGGUGCUAAACCGAUACUGAUGGAUGGACCCGCGGGGCAUUAGCUAGUUGGUGAGGUAACGGCUCACCAAGGCCACGAUGCAUAGCCGGCCUGGUAGGGGGAUCAGCAACACUGGGACUGCGACACGGCCCAGACUCCUACGGGAGGCAGGAGUGGGGAAUCUGCGGCAAUGGACGAAAGUCUGCCCGAGCAACGCCGCGUGAGUGAAGAAGGUUUUCGGAUCGUAAAACUCUGUUGUUAGAAAAGCGGUAUCUAACCAGAAAGCCACGGCUAACUACGUGCCAGCAGCCGCGGUAAUUC
rnacentral:rRNA from 1 species